rnacentral:misc_RNA from 1 species
CAUUACCGAGCGAAUAUGCGGCGGCGGCCCCCACUGGGAUGGUAGCCGCCGCGUACCUCACCACCCGUGUUUACCGUACCCUGUUGCUUCGGCGGGCCCGCCGUUAACCCGGCCGCCGGGGGACCCCAGGUCCCCGGGCCCGUGCCCGCCGGAGACCCCUCGAACACUGCCUGAAGGUUGCUGUCUGAGUGAUCGAAAAACAAACAAAACUUUCAACAACGGAUCUCUUGGUUCCGGCAUCGAUGAAGAACGCAGCGAAAUGCGAUAAGUAAUGUGAAUUGCAGAAUUCAGUGAAUCAUCGAAUCUUUGAACGCACAUUGCGCCCCCUGGUAUUCCGGGGGGCAUGCCUGUCCGAGCGUCAUUACUGCCCUCAAGCGCGGCUUGUGUGUUGGGCUUCGUCCCCCCCGGGGGACGGGCUCGAAAGGCAGUGGCGGCGCCCCCCGAAGAAAAC